CUAUGUUAAAAAAAAAAAAAUUUAAGGAUUAGGUGGGUUGGCCAACAUGAUUCAAUAAAGUUUUGGGGCACACGGAGCGGACCAAAAUCCAUCCCUUACCCCAAGGAUUAAUCUACAGAGCAAAGACUGCAACUCCUCCCUUUUUAACUGACUUGUUGUCUGGGUUUAGUUGGGCAGUUCCCAUUUGGUAAUCUGUCCAAAGCUUUGAGAUACCCACUUCCCACCGUAGACUCUUUUCACAUUAUGGGUCAAACCCUUAAUUUUGAUACUAUUAAAUUUCA
rnacentral:misc_RNA from 1 species